UACCUGGACAGCUGCGAAUCCAUCUAGAUUUUAAGUUUGAUCAUGGCUCAGCAAGCGAACGCUGUAUGAUCAUGCCUAACACAUGCAAGUCGAACGGCAGCACAGAGUGAGCUUGCUCCUUGUGUGUGGCGAAGUGGCUGUGACGUGGUGAGUGAAUACAUCGGAAUCUACUUUUUCUGUGGUGUGGAUAACGUAGUGGAAACUUACGCUAAUACCGCAUACGACCUACGGGUGAAAGCGGGAUCUUCGGACCUUCGGGAUUGAAUGAGCCUGAUGUCGGAUUAGCUAGUUGGCGGGGUAAAGUGCCCACCAAGGCGACGAUCCGUAACUGGUCUUGAAACG
rnacentral:rRNA from 1 species